AACAGGAUUUGAUACCCUGGUAGUCCACGCCGUAAACGGUGUCGAUUUGGAGGUUGUGCCCUUGAGGCGUGGCUUCCGGAGCUAACGCGUUAAAUCGACCGCCUGGGGAGUACGGCCGCAAGGUUAAAACUCAAAUGAAUUGACGGGGGCCCGCACAAGCGGUGGAGCAUGUGGUUUAAUUCGAUGCAACGCGAAGAACCUUACCUGGUCUUGACAUCCACAGAACUUUCCAGAGAUGGAUUGGUGCCUUCGGGAACUGUGAGACAGGUGCUGCAUGGCUGUCGUCAGCUCGUGUUGUGAAAUGUUGGGUUAAGUCCCGCAACGAGCGCAACCCUUAUCCUUUGUUGCCAGCGGUCCGGCCGGGAACUCAAAGGAGACUGCCAGUGAUAAACUGGAGGAAGGUGGGGAUGACGUCAAGUCAUCAUGGCCCUCACGACCAGGGCUACACACGUGCUACAAUGGCAUAUACAAAGAGAAGCGACCUCGCGAGAGCAAGCGGACCUCAUAAAGUAUGUCGUAGUCCGGAUUGGAGUCUGCAACUCGACUCCAUGAAGUCGGAAUCGCUAGUAAUCGUAGAUCAGAAUGCUACGGUGAAUACGUUCCCGGGCCUUGUACACACCGCCCGUCACACCAUGGGAGUGGGUUGCAAAAGAAGUAGGUAGCUUAACCUUCGGGAGGGCGCUUACCACUUUGUGAUUCAUGACUGGGGUGAAGUCGUAACAAGGUAACC
rnacentral:rRNA from 1 species